GAUGAACGCUGGCGGCGUGCCUAAUACAUGCAAGUCGAGCGAACAGAUGAGGAGCUUGCUCCUCUGACGUUAGCGGCGGACGGGUGAGUAACACGUGGAUAACCUACCUAUAAGACUGGGAUAACUUCGGGAAACCGGAGCUAAUACCGGAUAAUAUAUUGAACCGCAUGGUUCAAUAGUGAAAGACGGUUUUGCUGUCACUUAUAGAUGGAUCCGCGCCGCAUUAGCUAGUUGGUAAGGUAACGGCUUACCAAGGCAACGAUGCGUAGCCGACGUGAGAGGGUGGUCGGCCACACUGGAGCUGAGACACGGUCCAGACUCCUACGGGAGGCAGCAGUAGGGAAUCUGCCGCAAUGGGCGAAAGCCUGACGGAGCAGCGCCACGUGAGUGAUGAAGGUCUUCGGAUCGUAAAACUCUGUUAUUAGGGAAGAACAAAUGUGUAAGUAACUAUGCACGUCUUGACGGUACCUGAUCAGAAAGCCACGGCUAACUACGUG
rnacentral:rRNA from 1 species